rnacentral:rRNA from 1 species
GGCAUGUAGGCGGAGGAUCAGUAGGUGGCGGACGGAGGAGCGAUGAAUCGGAGGAGGAGUCCGUCGGGCUUGGCUGCCGGUUGGACAUUAUCAAACCUUUUUGUAGUUGCAAUCAGCGUCAGAAAAUAAUAAUAAUUACAACUUUCAACAACGGAUCUCUUGGUUCUGGCAUCGAUGAAGAACGCAGCGAAAUGCGAAAAGUAGUGUGAAUUGCAGAAUUCAGUGAAUCAUCGAAUCUUUGAACGCACAUUGCGCCCCUUGGUAUUCCAUGGGGCAUGCCUGUUCGAGCGUCAUUUUGUACCCUCAAGCACUGCUUGGUGUUGGGCGCUUGUCCUGCAAAGGACUCGCCUGAAAGCGAUUGGCGGCCAACGUACUGGUGGUAGAGCGCAGCACAAUUUGCGUCUUUCCCCUCUGCGUUAGCGUCCAUGAAGCCUAUUUCAACGUUUGACCUCGGAUCAGGUAGGGAUACCCGCUGAACUUAAGCAUAUCAAUAAGCGGAGGAA